CCGGGGAUAACAGGCUGAUCUUCCCCAAGAGUCCAUAUCGACGGGAUGGUUUGGCACCUCGAUGUCGGCUCGUCGCAUCCUGGGGCUGGAGUCGGUCCCAAGGGUUGGGCUGUUCGCCCAUUAAAGCGGUACGCGAGCUGGGUUUAGAACGUCGUGAGACAGUUCGGUCCCUAUCCGCUGUGCGCGUAGGAGUCUUGAGAAGGGCUGUCCCUAGUACGAGAGGACCGGGACGGACGAACCUCUGGUGUGCCAGUUGUUCUGCCAAGGGCAUGGCUGGUUGGCUACGUUCGGGAGGGAUAACCGCUGAAAGCAUCUAAGCGGGAAGCCUGCUUCGAGAUGAGGGCUCCCACCCACUUGAUGGGGUAAGGCUCCCAGUAGACGACUGGGUUGAUAGGCCGGAUAUGGAAGCACGGUAACGUGUGGAGUUGACCGGUACUAAUAGGCCGAGGGCUUUUCCUCAGUUG
rnacentral:rRNA from 1 species